rnacentral:lncRNA from 1 species
UGCCUGUUGUCCUGCAGGCAGUAGUCCCGCAGCAAGCCAGCAUGCUUUCCUGGGGACAUGAUACCUGAGCUGGGCGUUUAAGGAUGCACUGGAGUUGUCCAGGUGGUGAAUAAGAGAAUGCACUCCAGGCAGAAGGAAGAGCAGGUGCAAAGGCUUAGAGACACGAAAGAGGGUGUUGUAUUUAAGGAAUGCCGGAAAGCAAUGAAGAUUCUAGAGGCACCUGCAUUCCUUGGCUUGUGGCCUCUUCCUCCAUCUCAAAGUGCAUCGCUCCAAUUUCUGCUUCUGUCAUCACAUCGCCUUUUCCUCCAGCUCCGACUCCUCCUGCAUCCAUCUGAAAAGGAUAAUCCAGGAUAUUCUCCCUAUCUCAAGAUCCUUCAUCACAUCUGCAAAGUCUCAGAGUCUCGCUCUGUCGCCAAGCUGGAGUACAGUGGUGCG